AAAAUUGAGAAAAUGUGAACCGUACAUACUAAGACAAUUUUCUAUGUUGAAAUUUAUUGAUCAACUCAGCCAUUCCAAAGUAUGUUGUGGAAGAAUCAAAACCAAGACAUUGGCCUAAUGUUACCAUGUAUACUCGUAUGUAAAUGUAUGGUUAUAAACAUUUAAUGCAAAUAUACAUAAAUAUUAAAAUCGAGAGGUUGGUGAUAAUGCUGCACAAACAACAAUCGCUUAGCCAAACAACUCUAUAAAGAUACCAACUUGCCAGUUGCCACCCCUCAAUUGUCAAGAUCACAGUAGAUAGGAUUGGCCUCGAGCUGCUCUGCAAACUUCUCAAGAAUUUCCUUCACGAGUUCCCCAAAUACAUCCUCUGAUUCUGCAUCACAUUUUCCACUCUGUACAUCAGCAAGCACUGCAUCAUAAAGAAGGACCACUGCUUCGUUGGCUUCUGAUGGUGGCAAGCCCAACUCUUUUCCAUUUUCCUCCAGGAAACCCCUUAUUAUUUCUGUGUUCUUUUGGUCAUCCUUCUUGCUGCGCUUCUCCUGCAAUAUCUUCUCUGUGACAUUGUUCAGUUGCUUUUCAUUGGUCAAAAGCUGCAAUUGAUUAUCUAGAGUUCAUAAGAAAUUACACAAUACAACAAACCAAUAUUGUGAAAAUACAGUAGUUUCUACUUUCUACAAGGUGUCUGUGUCAUUUGCAGUAAAAUUGUUGUGUCAGUCCUUUCUGAGCCAACAAGCUGCAGUCAUUUAAUUGCUUCCAAUUAGUUCUCCUAAUUGCUAAAACUGAAAAACAUGAGAUUCACUAGUGAAAUUUGAUAGCACGAUAUUUCUUUAACUAGAGAUUCAAGUUUUCAUUGGUCUGAGACUUCAGAAUAAUGUGAUCCUAUUUUCUUGUAGGACAUUGAUAAGGUGGAAAUGGAAUCGACUGAUUACUUGUAGAACUACAAUCCUGGUGCUCAUUUUUCCUAAUAUACAUGCUAUUGGCCAAACUGAACCACUUAUCUGGCCAAUGAUCCAACUAGUUGAAUCAGAUUGUGUUUUAAUCAUACUGAAAACCCAAUUUUGUUAUGUAUUUGUAUAUCCAUAAAUGUUCUGAACAUUACCAAAAUCUUAAAUUAUUAACAAACUUCUGAAACAAUAUCAAAUUCAAGAACAUUCACCAGUUGACAUACUUCUAUAUUCUUAAUUUGUCACAACAAAAAAAGGAGAAGCCACAACGAGCAAAAAUGGAACGUCAGUGUGGAUAAUUCAUUAUCAGAUCAUAAACAACACAAGAAACUGAAAGAAUGAAUGUUGAUCAAUCACAAAAAGAAUUAACAUUGAUAAGCAAGUGUAUUUUGCAAUACCAACAUUUGGGGAUUGUUAACUUAAGGAUAAGGGACCGAAAUGAACUACCUUUCUUAGCUUAGAACCAUUAACAAUCCUAAUGUUAUGGAUAACAGCAACAUGUUUUUGAGCCAAAGUAUCCGCAACUUCUUGUAGAAUAGGCUGAAGUAACUCAGCAAAUUGUAAUUGGCCCAAUUCUACUUUUCCCUCUGCUCCGUGCUUCUUUAAGAUGUCAUUUAGCAGAGGAAAUUCUUCGAAAGGAGGAAUACCCAUUUCAACUCCCAUGUGAAGAAGCGCAUUCCUUAUCUCACCCUUGCUGAUCUUUCCCUUGUCCUCUAUAUCCAAAUCAGUGAAUAUAUUCUCCGCCAACAUUGCAAAUUCGUCUUCGUCCUCCAAAAACAGCCGCAGAGUAUUCCCAUCCAAAAUAGACACCACUAAUGGAUUAUCUUUUAGUUCAUCGGCUAUGGCAGUGAGAUAGUCAUUGAGCUUAGACGUUGCUGCUUCUUUGGUGAGUUCAGAACGCCGGAAACUGACACCAUCAUCGACGUUGACGCGUUGGAGAGCGGAGGACUUGAGACAUUGAGGCAAUGAGAGGCCAAAGAGAGAAUCAGAGGCUUCAGAUUCAGCGAGAUCGAGGACUUGAGCUCCUGUAAAAGUGACUUCGGAAUCCGGCAUGGCCACCUGGAGCGAUCUGAGAUGGGUUCCGUCUAGGACAGUCAUGCCACCUUCAGACAUUUUUUUUGACACACACACGAUUUGAAAACGAAGUUUUGGUUUGGAGAAGACAAAUGACUAGUAAUCGCCAAGGCGUGGAAGUGGUCUUUGUAAAGACCAG
rnacentral:misc_RNA from 1 species